AGUGAACGCUGGCGGUAGGCCUAACACAUGCAAGUCGAACGGCAGCACAGUAAGAGCUUGCUCUUACGGGUGGCGAGUGGCGGACGGGUGAGGAAUACAUCGGAAUCUACUUUUUCGUGGGGGACAACGUAGGGACACUUACGCUAAUACCGCAUACGACCUACGGGUGAAAGCAGGGGAUCUUCGCACCUUGCGCGACUGAAUGAGCCGAUGUCGGAUUAGCUAGUUGGCGGGGUAAAGGCCCACCAAGGCGACGAUCCGUAGCUGAUCUGAGAGGAUGAUCAGCCACACUGGAACUGAGACACGGUCCAGACUCCUACGGGAGGCAGCAGUAGGGAAUAUUGGACAAUGGGCGCAAGCCUGAUCCAGCAAUACCGCGUGAGUGAAGAAGGCCUUCGGAUUGUAAAGCCCUUUUGUUGGGGAAGAAAAGCAGCAGGUUAAUACCCCGCUGUUCUGACGGUACCCAAAGAAUAAGCACCGGCUAACUUCGUG
rnacentral:rRNA from 1 species